rnacentral:lncRNA from 13 species
AGAUGGAAGAGAUAGAACGAGAAAGGGAGAAAGAGAGACAGAGACAGAUUGAAAGAGAGAUUGAAGAAGAAAGAUGUAAACAGAAGCAAAUAGAGAUGGAAGAGGAAGAAAGAGAGAGGGAGAAAGAGAGACAGAGACAGAUUGAAAGAGAGAUUGAAGAAGAAAGAUGUAAACAGAAGCAAAUAGAGAUGGAAGAGGAAGAAAGAGAAGAAGAGAGACAGAGAGAGAUUGAAAGAGAGCAUGAAGAAGAAGAAAGAAGUAAACAGAAGCAAAUAGAGAUGGAAGAGGAAGAAAGAGAAGAAGAGAGACAGAGAGAGAUGGGUGAGAAAGAGAGACGACAACAACAAGAGGAGAGACAGAAACAAAAGGAGAAGGAGAAAGAAAGGGAGAAAGACAAUGAGAAUCAGAGAGAGAUGGAAUUAAGAGAUCAGCAACAGAAAGAGAUGGAGAGAGAAAAUAUGAUUAUGAGAGAAAGGGAGGAAGCAGGAAGAAGAAAGGAGGGGCAGAAAAAUAUUUUGGGGGAAGUUGAGGGACAGAAUGAACUGGAGAUAGAACAGGAGAGAGAGAUGGAAGAAAAGCAGGAAGUGAUUAAGGAAGCAGAGGAAGAGUACAGGGAAAGAGAAGAGAGAGGAAAGGAAGUAAGCAUGAAGAAACAUGUAGUAGUUAAUGUUAAAGCAAAAGCACGGGAAGUCUUCAAUAGGCGUAAAGAGAGGAGGUUAGAAGUGUUGAAGGGGGAACGAGAACACAUAGAAAGAGGACAACAAAUCAGGAGGGAGAAGGAGGAAAUACGGCUGGAGAUGGAAAGAAAACAGGAGAGGGCAAGACAACAAGAGGAGCAGGAUAGAAAACAAGAGAUUGAAAUUGCUAGACAGAAAGAAAUGUUGAGACUAAGAGAGGAGGAGAGGCAGAGAGAGGAUGAGAGAGAGGAGCAGAGAAAGAAAGCCAUUGAAGGCCAUUUAGCUUUAAUCAGAGAGAGAGAAAAUAUAAUACAGGCAAAAAAAAGAGAGGAGAUGGUGGAAGAGGAAAGAAGGAAGAUCCUUGAGUACAAGAGGGGUGAGUUAGAGGAGGAGGAGAAGGAAGAUGACAAGGAGGACAUUCUCCCACCUGAUAAUAGUAUCCGAAGGAGAGCUGUGGGCUGGGUGAACAAGAAGUGGGAGAAGAGGAACCUCAAAAAGAUAGAGAGAACCUGUCAGAGAGAAGCUGAGGAGGGCCAUAAGAUCGUCCACAUAGUCAUCCCUGGACCCAUAAGGAUAACCAUGACCCGGGCAGAGAGAGAGAGGGAGAAGAGGAAGGAGCUGCUGAAGGCUGAGGAGAGAAGGAAGAAGAUGGAGGAUUUCAAUAAGCAGUGGAGAGAGCGGUCCCUGCUUAAAAAACAGACUCAUGAAAAACUGAAGGAGGAGAGGGAGAGGAUGAAGGAAAACUACCUGGAGCAGAUGAAUCUGGAGGCUGAUGAGCAAAUCCAGAAGUUCAGCACCCAGUACAUCACCCGUUGUCCAACCACCCAACACAGCCACGACUACAACCAAGGUCAGGAAUUGCCGCGGUGGGCGACAGGCCAACAAGUAAGCCACGAGCCUUUUGCAUCUGGAGAUGGCCAGCAGGAGGGGCCAAGGAGGCAACAGGCAUGGGCAGAGAACCAGGAGGGGAGUUCAGAGAACCAGCAGGAGGGGCCAGAGAACCAACAGGGGGGGCCAGAGAACCAACAGGAGGGGCCAGACAGCCAGCAGCUAGAAGCUCCAGAAGAGGUUGAAACAUCAGAGCCAACCUCCAAGAACAAGAAAAAGCCAAGCAUCUGGAAGAAAAUUAGGAUGAGGUAAAGAAUGUUUAAACAUCUAUUCAUGUUUUACACUGUUAAUAUAUACAUGUUAUCACUUUAAAAAGUGACAUUAUCCAAAUGUGAGGGUUUAGUGUACAUGCAACACACAUGUAAAUAUAUAGAUACUUACCUGUCUCUGUGAUGUCUUACAGCCUUCCUGAUGUGCUGUCUGCCUAGAGCUGGAACUCGAUGAAGCCACAGUUCCACUGAGGUUACGUUGGUUAUUAAAAGUGUCGCCCAAUAAUUCCUCCUCCUCUUUAAGUCAUCAAGCCACAUUUCCUCCUCAAAACAUUAUAGUCUCCUCAAGCCAGCAAGUAUCUUCUUUAUCAGGCAACAAACCAUCGAAGGUCAGUGACCCUCCUCUCCAGAACAGAGACUCUCAUCUUUAUCCUAGUUAAAUUCAUCUCUGAUCACCACCUCUACUGUUCUAGAAAAUAUCCCCAAAAUGGAAAUGGUUUCAACAGAAGUCCUCCCCUCAGACCAGUGGCUCCACAGACCAGAGUUUCUCAUCUUUAUUCAAGUUGAAUGCAACUCUGAUCAUUUCCACCACCUCUCCUGUUAAGGGGAGGUGCUGAAAAGGAGGUCUGGGAGGAGGUCUGCAGGUAGCCUGGACCGGACCGGUAGCAGCUAAGUUGCUGGCUCCAUCCCCGGGCAGAGCUGCUCAAGUCAGGCCACUGAUGUUUGAUGAUGUCAUUUUGUUAUCAAAUUUAUUAAAAAACAAUAUUGUUGUUACGGUGUGGAUUGUUUUGUUAUUUAUUAGAAUUGAAACAUCCAGUAGUCAUGGUAGAUGUUAGACUUUCAAUGAGACACCUAACAUUCCAUCAGUUUGAUACAAUGUGUGACAUGUUAUAUUAGAGAGGAGUCCUCUAUACACAUCUAUUUUAGACCAUAGGAGAAAUAUCAGAUUGAAAUAGCUUCUCUAAGAAUCUGAG